UACGUAGGGUGCGAGCGUUAAUCGGAAUUACUGGGCGUAAAGCGUGCGCAGGCGGCGCGUUAAGACAGGUGUGAAAGCCCCGAGCUUAACUUGGGAAUUGCGCUUGUGACUGGCGAGCUGGAGUGUGGCAGAGGGAGGUGGAAUUCCACGUGUAGCAGUGAAAUGCGUAGAGAUGUGGAGGAACACCGAUGGCGAAGGCAGCCUCCUGGGCCGACACUGACGCUGAUGCGCGAAAGCCAGGGGAGCGAACGGG
rnacentral:rRNA from 1 species